rnacentral:rRNA from 1 species
UACAGAGGUCCCGAGCGUUGUUCGGAUUCACUGGGCGUAAAGGGUGCGUAGGUGGCCUAAAAAGUUUGAUGUGAAAGCUCAGGGCUUAACCCUGAAAUGGCAUUGAAUACUGUUGGGCUGGAGGUUUGGAGGGGGGACUGGAAUUCUUGAUGUAGCAGUGAAAUGCGUAGAUAUCAAGAGGAACACCAGUGGCGAAGGCGAGUCCCUGGACAACACCUGACACUGAGGCACGAAAGCCGGGGGAGCAAACAGG